rnacentral:rRNA from 1 species
AUGGUUAAAGAAGAAAAAGAAGAAAACAGGGGUUCUGUUGAAUUUCAAGUAUUCAGUUUCACCAAUAAGAUACGGAGACUUGCUUCACAUUUGGAAUUACACAAAAAAGAUUUUUCAUCGGAAAGAGGUCUACGAAGAGGGUACAGUAGACUUUGA